UUGAAGCAGGCACGGUAACAGGCUCUUACAUUAUCGCAUCGGUCAACUUGCUUAUAAUACCGAUAUCGACCGUAAUCACACGUAUCAAGACAUUCGUUUGUAUAAUACUCAUACGGAGCAAAAGUUUACGUUAUAUGUUUGGUUGUUUUAUCGGUACAAUGUGUAAUAUUGUCAAUAAUUUUUUGUUUGUUUGCUAUAAUUUGUGUACAAUUUUCUAUUCGCCCAAACACCCGCCUCCGCAAUCGCACCCAAAUAUGUUGCAAGAUCCGACGCCACAAUAAUGACCGUUCGUCACACUACCAUCGCCUGCACAUAUACCCGCUUCGUAUGAUUUUCGCGGAUUAUCUAUGGCUACAUUACACAAUGCGUGAUCACCCAAUUUUUCAGCGCCUAAUACACUUUUUGCUUCACGACAUUCAGAAGUGACUUGAACGAUACAAUAUGCAACAACAACAGCAGUCGACAUUAGUAAGAGUAAUCCUGGAACCAAUGUUUUGAGAAUCGAAAAAUGUGUGCGUGUUUAUGAAAAAUCGAUCGAUGCUAACUAUAUUCGCAUACGUACCUGUGAACCCAGUAGUUUGAAUAUACAAUGUUAGGUACCUCAACUCGACGUUGCUGUAUGUUCGGUCCAAUAAUAACAAUGGCGUAUCAGACAUCGCUCCCAAACCGGUCGACAUCCAUCUGCAUAACUGUUCAGUUGUAACAGCAUUUUAGGGGCUAUUGUAAUUCCCACUUCCAGGACUUUAUCAUACAUACAGCCGACAGCCCGAUGACCUACAUUAUUGUGUAUUCUGGUCUACCCUAUGAUGGCCGCGAAGUAACGAUCACGUCACCGUUUAUCAGAUUGCCCAGUUUGAAAGAGUCUCCAACAAUUUCAUCGGAUAGGUACGCCAUAAACCGUGGCAUAGCGCUGGGCCAGCAUCAUUUUGUCCGGAUCAAUAUCUACAAAAAUGACGUCCCAAUUAUUAGAAGCUAAUAAUAUAGUGUCUUUGUCGAACAGUCAGCUGUACGAAGUUUCCGCUGUGCCACAAAACGGUUCGACGCCGGUCGCUGAACAUGGGAAGUCCUCAAGUCCACCCAGCAUCGUAUUGAUGAAUCAACAAUACAUCUUACACCUAACAUCUUACAUCUUACAUCUAUCAUUGCAAUCUUAUAAUUAUUCACCUGAAUGCAGUAAUCCUGAAUGUACAGUUAAUUUAUUAC